UUGAAGUGUGGACGCCAGUCUGCAUGGAGCCGACCUUGAAAUACCACCCUUUAAUGUUUGAUGUUCUAACGUUGGCCCCUAAUCGGGGUUGCGGACAGUGUCUGGUGGGUAGUUUGACUGGGGCGGUCUCCUCCUAAAGAGUAACGGAGGAGCACGAAGGUUGGCUAAUCCUGGUCGGACAUCAGGAGGUUAGUGCAAUGGCAUAAGCCAGCUUGACUGCGAGCGUGACGGCGCGAGCAGGUGCGAAAGCAGGUCAUAGUGAUCCGGUGGUUCUGAAUGGAAGGGCCAUCGCUCAACGGAUAAAAGGUACUCCGGGGAUAACAGGCUGAUACCGCCCAAGAGUUCAUAUCGACGGCGGUGUUUGGCACCUCGAUGUCGGCUCAUCACAUCCUGGGGCUGAAGUAGGUCCCAAGGGUAUGGCUGUUCGCCAUUUAAAGUGGUACGCGAGCUGGGUUUAGAACGUCGUGAGACAGUUCGGUCCCUAUCUGCCGUGGGCGCUGGAGAACUGAGGGGGGCUGCUCCUAGUACGAGAGGACCGGAGUGGACGCAUCACUGGUGUUCGGGUUGUCAUGCCAAUGGCACUGCCCGGUAGCUAAAUGCGGAAGAGAUAAGUGCUGAAAGCAUCUAAGCACGAAACUUGCCCCGAGAUGAGUUCUCCCUGACUCCCUGAGAGUCCUGAAGGAACGUUGAAGACGACGACGUUGAUAGGCCGGGUGUGUAAGCGCAGCGAUGCGUUGAGCUAACCGGUACUAAUGAACCGUGAGG
rnacentral:rRNA from 1 species